UACGUAGGGUGCGAGCGUUGUCCGGAAUUAUUGGGCGUAAAGAGCUCGUAGGCGGUUUGUCGCGUCGACUGUGAAAACCUACAGCUUAACUGUGGGCUUGCAGUCGAUACGGGCAGACUUGAGUUCGGUAGGGGAGACUGGAAUUCCUGGUGUAGCGGUGAAAUGCGCAGAUAUCAGGAGGAACACCGGUGGCGAAGGCGGGUCUCUGGGCCGACACUGACACUGAGAGACGAAAGCUAGGGGAGCGAAUGGG
rnacentral:rRNA from 1 species